GAUGAACGCUGGCGGCGUGCCUAAUACAUGCAAGUCGAGCGAACAGACGAGGAGCUUGCUCCUCUGACGUUAGCGGCGGACGGGUGAGUAACACGUGGAUAACCUACCUAUAAGACUGGGAUAACUUCGGGAAACCGGAGCUAAUACCGGAUAAUAUAUUGAACCGCAUGGUUCAAUAGUGAAAGACGGUUUUGCUGUCACUUAUAGAUGGAUCCGGGCGGGAUUAGCUAGUUGGUAAGGUAACGGCUUACCCAGGCCACGAUGCGUAGCCGACCUGAGAGGAUGAUCGGCCACACUGGAACUGAGACACGGUCCAGACUCCUACGGGAGGCAGCAGUAGGGAAUCUUGCGCAAUGGGCGAAAGCCUGACGCAGCAACGCCGCGUGAGUGAUGAAGGUCUUCGGAUCGUAAAGCUCUGUUAUUAGGGAAGAACAAAUGUGUAAGUAACUAUGCACGUCUUGACGGUACCUAAUCAGAAAGCCCCGGCUAACUACGUG
rnacentral:rRNA from 1 species